UACGGGGGGGGCAAGCGUUGUUCGGAAUUACUGGGCGUAAAGGGCUCGUAGGCGGCCAACUAAGUCAUACGUGAAAUCCCUCGGCUUAACCGGGGAACUGCGUCUGAUACUGGAUGGCUUGAGAUUGGGAGAGGGAUGCGGAAUUCCAGGUGUAGCGGUGAAAUGCGUAGAUAUAGGGAGGAACAUCAGUGGCGAAGGCGGCCGCCUGGAUCGAUACUGACGCUGAGGUGCGAAAGCGUGGGGAGCAAACAGG
rnacentral:rRNA from 1 species